UGUGAGAAUGAGACCUACAGGGAGCAAUUCCCAGACAAGCACUUUGACCUUGAAACUGUCCUCCAAGCCAAAAUACGCUCUCUUUCUGUUGUUCCUCGCAAGUCCUUCAUUGGAUUUUUCCAUCCUGAUGGGAUGGAUGAGGGAGGAUUUGACUUUUUGCAAGGUGCCAUGUCCUUUGAUAAUAUUUGGGAUGAGAUUAGUGGCACUGGAUCAGGAAAUCCUAACAAUGAUGGGCCUCAGGUCUAUAUAGUAAGCUGGAAUGAUCAUUUUUUCAUCCUCAAGGUUGAACCAGAAGCUUACUAUAUUAUUGACACAUUAGGAGAAAGGCUCUAUGAGGG
rnacentral:misc_RNA from 1 species